GACGAACGCUGGCGGCGUGCCUAAUACAUGCAAGUAGAACGCUGAAGGAGGAGCUUGCUUCUCUGGAUGAGUUGCGAACGGGUGAGUAACGCGUAGGUAACCUGCCUGGUAGCGGGGGAUAACUAUUGGAAACGAUAGCUAAUACCGCAUAACAGUAGAUAUCGCAUGAUAGCUGCUUGAAAGGUGCAAUUGCACCACUACCAGAUGGACCUGCGUUGUAUUAGCUAGUUGGUGAGGUAACGGCUCACCAAGGCAACGAUACAUAGCCGACCUGAGAGGGUGAUCGGCCACACUGGGACUGAGACACGGCCCAGACUCCUACGGGAGGCAGCAGUAGGGAAUCUUCGGCAAUGGACGGAAGUCUGACCGAGCAACGCCGCGUGAGUGAAGAAGGUUUUCGGAUCGUAAAGCUCUGUUGUAAGAGGAGAACGAGUGUGAAGAUGUUAUAGUUCACA
rnacentral:rRNA from 1 species